rnacentral:tRNA from 1 species
GCAUCCGUGGUGUAAAGGUCAGCACGGUUGCCUUCCAAGCAAUUGAUCCGGGUUCGAUUCCCGGCCGAUGCA